GAUCCUGGCUCAGGAUGAACGCUAGCUACAGGCUUAACACAUGCAAGUCGAGGGGCAGCAUGGUCUUAGCUUGCUAAGACUGAUGGCGACCGGCGCACGGGUGAGUAACACGUAUCCAACCUGCCGUCUACUCUUGGACAGCCUUCUGAAAGGAAGAUUAAUCCAGGAUGGGAUCAUGAGUUCACAUGUCCGCAUGAUUAAAGGUAUUUUCCGGUAGACGAUGGGGA
rnacentral:rRNA from 1 species